rnacentral:rRNA from 1 species
AUACGGAGGGUGCAAGCGUUAAUCGGAAUUACUGGGCGUAAAGCGUACGUAGGCGGUUAUUUAAGUCAGAUGUGAAAGCCCCGGGCUUAACUUGGGAACUGCAUUUGAAACUGGGUAACUAGAGUUUAGUAGAGGGGAGUGGAAUUUCAGGUGUAGCGGUGAAAUGCGUAGAGAUCUGAAGGAACACCAGUGGCGAAGGCGACUCCCUGGACUAAAACUGACGCUGAGGUACGAAAGCGUGGGUAGCAAACAGGAUUAGAUACCCUAGUAGUCC